AGAAGAGUAGACUCUGGAGCAGUGCAGUCAACUGAUAAGAAGUCUUCAUUUAGUCUGUCCUUCCUUAUGGAACUAAUCCCUCUAAUAAGAACAUCUGCUGGUGGGUUGAAAUUAUUUUUCUAGAAACCUCCUGCUGUGCCACAUUAUAGCCUGUGAAAGUAUCAGAGAGGAGAUCUAGGAGCCAGUCCAAAUAUGACCGUUUCACUGCAACCUCGUAGAAAAGGAAGACAUGAUACAUUGUGAACGGGAAAGUAAUACCUCGCACAUGCUUAGAUCUGCCCCCCGGACAAGCAAUGGAUCUUUUCAAUUGACUGACAAUGAAACGUUUGAACAGUUUGAUAUGAUGGAUGAGAGGAGGAAAUACACUUUCUUUUUGCCUAUAUUAGUAGAUACAUGUGUUAUCAGCAUGUCCGCUCAUGGGAACUCAGCUGUCUUCACCGUGUGAAGGGGAAAAAGUCAA